CCUACGGGAGGCAGCAGUGAGGAAUAUUGGUCAAUGGACGAGAGUCUGAACCAGCCAAGUAGCGUGAAGGAUGACUGCCCUAUGGGUGGUAAACUUCGUUUAUAUGGGAAUAAAAUGUUCCACGUGUGGGAUUUUGUAUGUACCAUAUGAAUAAGGAUCGGCUAACUCCGUGCCAGCAGCCGCGGUAAUACGGAGGAUCCGAGCGUUAUCCGGAUUUAUUGGGUUUAAAGGGAGCGUAGGUGGAUUGUUAAGUCAGUUGUGAAAGUUUGCGGCUCAACCGUAAAAUUGCAGUUGAAACUGGCAGUCUUGAGUACAGUAGAGGUGGGCGGAAUUCGUGGUGUAGCGGUGAAAUGCUUAGAUAUCACGAAGAACUCCGAUUGCGAAGGCAGCUCACUGGACUGCAACUGACACUGAGGCUCGAAAGUGUGGGUAUCAAACAGGAUUAGAUACCCCAGUAGUC
rnacentral:rRNA from 1 species